UACGGAGGGUGCGAGCGUUGUCCGGAAUCAUUGGGCGUAAAGGGCGCGUAGGUGGCCCGGUCAGUUCUUUGGUGAAAGCGCGGGGCUCAACCCUGCGUCGGCCAGGGAUACUGCCGCGGCUCGAGCACUGUAGAGGCAGGCGGAAUCCGGGUGUAGCGGUGGAAUGCGUAGAGAUCCGGAAGACACCGGUGGCGAAGGCGGCCGCUGGGCAGUUUAGCUGACACUGAGGCGCGACAGCGUGGGAGCAACAGG
rnacentral:rRNA from 1 species